CCGCGGCUCUUGCUGUGUCCUAUGCGCCUCUGUCGGCCCUUGCAAAUCCGAGGUAGAGAGAAUGAUUUUCGUGCCGGUCCGUACCCAUAUCCGCAGCAGGUCUCCAAGGUGAACAGCCUCUAGUCGAUAGAACAAUGUAGGUAAGGGAAGUUGGCAAGUUCGAUCCGUAACUUCGGGGCAAGGAUUGGCUCUGAGGACUGGGCCCAUCGGGCUGGGAUCCGAAGCGGGUGUGGCACUGCACCGGGAGCAUAUAGGCAUUCUGUACUCGAGCAGAGCACCAUUGUAACUUUGGAGGGCUCUGAUUGGACAAGCGAAUCUGACGCCACUCUUCUGCACACCACAUCAACAAUGAGACACGCGUAUCUUGUUUAAAGUUCUUCCAUAUUCUUCUAUCCAUGAAUACACAUCGGAAACACUUUUAAUGUUGCUUCGAACAAUGGUUUCAUCUUUCACGAUUUUAACAACUUCGUUUACAAAAGAAGGGGGAAGAUUGGAAUUCUGAAUAGCCAUGGCGUAUUACACAAAGAACAUUUCGCUAUCGCUAGUUGAAAGAAUAAGGCAGAGCGUGGUCAAAGGUAAACAAACAACAAAGCAUAGUUCCGUCAGAUUCGCUUGUCCAAUCAGAGCCCUCCAAAGUUACAAUGGUGCUCUGCUUGAGUACAGUAUGCCUAUAUGCGCACCGGGACUGGGCGAUACUGGCUGGGGCGACUCAGUCUGGUUCGGCGCGGACUAGCGUCGAGGCCUUCCCGUGGGAUGUCUCAGCUGCGCCGUGGACCUUGCUUUCGUGCGGAUUCGACGGACAACUAACAGCCGACUCAGAACUGGCACGGACUAAGGGAAUCUGACUGUCUAAUUAAAACAAAGCAUUGCGAUGACCGGUGAUGACGCAAUGUGAUUUCUGCCCAGUGCUCUGAAUGUUA